GCCUAAAGCGUCCGUAGCCGGCUCAGUAAGUUUUCGGUUAAAUCUGUACGCUCAACGUACAGGCUGCCGGAAAUACUGCAGAGCUAGGGAGUGGGAGAGGUAGACGGUACUCGGGAGGAAGUGGUAAAAUGCUUUGAUCUUUCGAUGACCACCUGUGGCGAAGGCGGUCUACCAGAACACGUCCGACGGUGAGGGAUGAAAGCUGGGGGAGCAAACCGGAUUAGAUACCCGGGUAGUCCCAGCUGUAAACUAUGCAAACUCAGUGAUGCAUUGGCUUGUGGCCAAUGCAGUGUUGCAGGGAAGCCGUUAAGUUUGCCGCCUGGGAAGUACGUACGCAAGUAUGAAACUUAAAGGAAUUGGCGGGGGAGCACCACAAGGGGUGAAGCCUGCGGUUCAAUUGGAGUCAACGCCAGAAAUCUUACCCGGAGAGACAGCAGAAUGAAGGUCAAGCUGAAGACUUUACCAGACAAGCUGAGAGGUGGUGCAUGGCCGUCGCCAGCUCGUGCCGUGAGAUGUCCUGUUAAGUCAGGUAACGAGCGAGAUCCCUGCCUCUAGUUGCCACCAUUACUCUCAGGAGUAGUGGGGCGAAUUAGCGGGACCGCCGCAGUUAAUGCGGAGGAAGGAAGGGGCCACGGCAGGUCAGUAUGCCCCGAA
rnacentral:rRNA from 1 species